UCUCCGUUGGUGAACCAGCGGAGGGAUCAUUACCGAGUUUACAACUCCCAAACCCAAUGUGAACGUUACCAUUCCGUUGCUUCGGCGGGAGUGCCCCGGGCGCGGCCGAGAGGCCCAGCCCCGGACCCAGGCGCCCGCCGGAGGACCCAAACUCUUGUGUUUUACAGUGGAAUCUUCUGAGUGGCUAUAAGCAAAAAUGAAUCAAAACUUUCAACAACGGAUCUCUUGGUUCUG
rnacentral:misc_RNA from 1 species